rnacentral:ribozyme from 1 species
UGCCCAGCAACUCCUAUCCCUACCUCCUCCGUGGUACCGGCCGGAAACUAUGAGCAACCGAAGAUCGGGUAACCAACCCCGGUGGGAACUUUGGUCGUAGGCUGACAGGGAAGG